rnacentral:rRNA from 1 species
AGUGGGGAAUAUUGCACAAUGGGCGAAAGCCUGAUGCAGCGACGCCGCGUGAGGGAUGACGGCCUUCGGGUUGUAAACCUCUUUCAGCAGGGAAGAAGCGAAAGUGACGGUACCUGCAGAAGAAGCGCCGGCUAACUACGUGCCAGCAGCCGCGGUAAUACGUAGGGCGCAAGCGUUGUCCGGAAUUAUUGGGCGUAAAGAGCUCGUAGGCGGCUUGUCACGUCGGUUGUGAAAGCCCGGGGCUUAACCCCGGGUCUGCAGUCGAUACGGGCAGGCUAGAGUGUGGUAGGGGAGAUCGGAAUUCCUGGUGUAGCGGUGAAAUGCGCAGAUAUCAGGAGGAACACCGGUGGCGAAGGCGGAUCUCUGGGCCAUUACUGACGCUGAGGAGCGAAAGCGUGGGGAGCGAA